rnacentral:rRNA from 1 species
GACGAACGCUGGCGGCGUGCUUAACACAUGCAAGUCGAACGGAAAGGCCCUGCUUUUGUGGGGUGCUCGAGUGGCGAACGGGUGAGUAACACGUGAGUAACCUGCCCUUGACUUUGGGAUAACUUCAGGAAACUGGGGCUAAUACCGGAUAGGAGCUCCCGCUGCAUGGUGGGGGUUGGAAAGUUUCGGCGGUUGGGGAUGGACUCGCGGCUUAUCAGCUUGUUUGUGGGGUAGUGGCUUACCAAGGGUUUGACGGGUAGCCGGCCUGAGAGGGUGACCGGCCACAUUGGGACUGAGAUACGGACCAGACUCGUACGGGAGGCAGCAGUGGGGAAUAUUGCACAAUGGGCGGAAGCCUGAUGCAGAAGCGCCGCGUGCGGGAUGACGGCCUUCGGGUUGUAAACCGCUUUCGCCUGUGACGAAGCGUGAGUGACGGUAAUGGGUAAAGAAGCACCGGCUAACUACGUG